rnacentral:rRNA from 1 species
UACGAAGGGUGCAAGCGUUACUCGGAAUUACUGGGCGUAAAGCGUGCGUAGGUGGUUUGUUAAGUCUGUUGUGAAAGCCCCGGGCUCAACCUGGGAAUGGCAAUGGAUACUGGCAGGCUAGAGUUCGGAAGAGGCGAGUGGAAUUCCUGGUGUAGCGGUGGAAUGCGCAGAUAUCAGGAGGAACACCGGUGGCGAAGGCGGCGAUCUGGGUCGAUACUGACGCUGAGGUGCGAAAGCGUGGGGAGCAAACAGG